GUGGGGAAUCUUGCGCAAUGGGCGAAAGCCUGACGCAGCCAUGUCGCGUGAAUGAUGAAGGUCUUAGGAUUGUAAAAUUCUUUCACCGGGGACGAUAAUGACGGUACCCGGAGAAGAAGCUCCGGCUAACUUCGUGCCAGCAGCCGCGGUAAUACGAAGGGGGCUAGCGUUGCUCGGAAUUACUGGGCGUAAAGGGCGCGUAGGCGGACAGCUUAGUCAGAGGUGAAAGCCCAGGGCUCAACCUUGGAAUUGCCUUUGAUACUGGCUGUUUUGAGUUUGGGAGAGGUGAGUGGAACUCCGAGUGUAGAGGUGAAAUUCGUAGAUAUUCGGAAGAACACCAGUGGCGAAGGCGACUCACUGGCCCAAUACUGACGCUGAGGCGCGAAAGCGUGGGGAGCAAACAGGAUUAGAUACCCGAGUAGUCC
rnacentral:rRNA from 1 species